UACGUAGGGUGCGAGCGUUGUCCGGAAUUAUUGGGCGUAAAGGGCUCGUAGGCGGUUUGUCGCGUCGGGAGUGAAAACCCAGGGCUUAACCCUGAGCUUGCAGUGGGUACGGGCAGACUAGAGUGCGGUAGGGGAGACUGGAAUUCCUGGUGUAGCGGUGAAAUGCGCAGAUAUCAGGAGGAACACCGGUGGCGAAGGCGGGUCUCUGGGCAGUAACUGACGCUGAGGAGCGAAAGCGUGGGGAGCGAACAGG
rnacentral:rRNA from 1 species